rnacentral:rRNA from 1 species
GACGAACGCUGGCGGCGUGCUUAACACAUGCAAGUCGAACGGUAACAGGUCUUCGGAUGCUGACGAGUGGCGAACGGGUGAGUAAUACAUCGGAACGUGCCCGAUCGUGGGGGAUAACGGAGCGAAAGCUUUGCUAAUACCGCAUAAGAUCUACGGAUGAAAGCAGGGGACCGCAAGGCCUUGCGCGAACGGAGCGGCCGAUGGCAGAUUAGGUAGUUGGUGGGGUAAAAGCUUACCAAGCCGACGAUCUGUAGCUGGUCUGAUAGGAAGACCAGCCACACUGGGACUGACACACGGCCCAGAAGCCUACGGGAGGCAGGAGUGGGGAAUAUUGGACAAUGGGCGAAAGCCUGAUCCAGCAAUUCUGCGUGAGUGAGGAAGUACUUCGGUCUGUAAAGCUCUGUUAAUGUUGAAAAAUGGUAGUUGGUCUAAUAGGCCGAUUAUUUGAUGGUACACAUAGAGGAAGCACCGGCUAACUUCGUGCCAGCAGCCGCCGUAA